rnacentral:rRNA from 1 species
ACAUCCAGAGAACUUAGCAGAGAUGCUUUGGUGCCUUCGGGAACUCUGAGACAGGUGCUGCAUGGCUGUCGUCAGCUCGUGUUGUGAAAUGUUGGGUUAAGUCCCGNAACGAGCGCAACCCCUAUCCUUUGUUGCCAGCGAUUCGGUCGGGAACUCAAAGGAGACUGCCGGUGAUAAACCGGAGGAAGGUGGGGAUGACGUCAAGUCAUCAUGGCCCUUACGAGUAGGGCUACACACGUGCUACAAUGGCGCAUACAAAGAGAAGCGACCUCGCGAGAGCAAGCGGACCUCAUAAAGUGCGUCGUAGUCCGGAUUGGAGUCCGCAACUCGACUCCAUGAAGUCGGAAUCGCUAGUAAUCGUAGAUCAGAAUGCUACGGUGAAUACGUUCCCGGGCCUUGUACACACCGCCCGUCACACCAUGGGAGUGGGUUGCAAAAGAAGUAGAUAGCUUAACCUUCGGGAGGGCGUUUACCACUUUGUGAUUCAUGACUGGGGUGAAGUCGUAACAAGGUAAGCGUAGCGAG